rnacentral:rRNA from 1 species
AGUCGACGGAGUGCUUUCGGGCACUGAGUGGCGGACGGGUGAGUAACGCGCGAGAAUCUGCCUUUAGGUCGGGGAUAACGGCUGGAAACGGUCGCUAAUACCGGAUGUGCCGGGAGGUGAGAGGUUAAACUGCCUGAAGAUGAGCUCGCGUCGGAUUAGCUAGUUGGUGGGGUAAGGGCCUACCAAGGCGACGAUCCGUAGCUGGUUUGAGAGGAUGACCAGCCACACUGGGACUGAGACACGGCCCAGACUCCUACGGGAGGCAGCAGUGGGGAAUUUUCCGCAAUGGGCGCAAGCCUGACGGAGCAACGCCGCGUGCGGGAGGAAGGCCUGUGGGUUGUAAACCGCUUUUCUCAAGGAAGAAUAGGUGACGGUACUUGAGGAAUCAGCAUCGGCUAACUCCGUGCCAGCAGCCGCGG